rnacentral:rRNA from 1 species
UACGGGGGGGGCAAGCGUUGUUCGGAAUUACUGGGCGUAAAGGGCUCGUAGGCGGCCAACUAAGUCAGACGUGAAAUCCCCAGGCUCAACCUGGGAACUGUGUCUGAUACUGGAUGGCUUGAAUCCGGGAGAGGGAUGCAGAAUUCCAGGUGUAGCGGUGAAAUGCGUAGAUAUCUGGAGGAACACCGGUGGCGAAGGCGGCAUCCUGGACCGAUAUUGACGCUGAUGCGCGAAAGCCAGGGGAGCAAACGGG